CGCAGGCGCAGAGCGGCCCACAGCGCCGGCGCAGGCGCAGAGCGGCCCACAGCGCCGGCGCAGGCGCAGAGAGGCCCACAGCGCCGGCGCAGGCGCAGAGAGGCAGAAGGCCCAUGAGGGGAAGGUGAGACACCUGGGGCAAAGAAAAAAAAAAAUGCGCCGCGAAGCAGUGUCUGGGUCAUCCACGGACGAAAGUUUUUUUCCCAUCAGCCCUUGCGCUGGGCCCCAGGGACCCUGGCAUCCCUGGUUCGCGCCCAUGGUGCGCCUCGGGCGACUAGGGGUACCCCAACUCGGACAGAAGCCCCAUGAGUGGAAGUUGAAGUUUGUGGGAAGAGAGGUGCAGUGGCUUCUAUGUUUUGGGUUGAUGCUGAAUUAGGGAGUGAUAUUUACCUUGAUGGUAUCAUAACUAUUGUGGAUUCAAAAUAUGGAUUAAAAGUGAAAUACCACUAAAGGCAGAAGAGAAUGAAAUCAUCCCACCCACUGACCCGUUCCCAAUCUGAGCAUAUGGAUAGGGCCCAAAGCACAUUUAACAGAAGAGAAACCUGAUGGCCUUAUCAAUGAAGCUACUAGGCAAGUUGCUUUGGCAGAUAUCGUUCUCAUUAAUAAAACAGACUUGGUUCCAGAAGAAGAUGUAAAGAAAUUAAGAACAACAAUUAGAUCCAUAAAUGGACUAGGACAAAUCUUAGAAACACAAAGAUCAAGAGUUGAUCUCUCUAAUGUAUUAGAUCUUCAUGCCUUUGAUAGUCUCUCUGGAAUAAGUUUGCAGAAAAAACUUCAGCAUGUGCCAGGAACACAACCUCACCUUGAUCAGGUAAAGAAAAAAAAUCUAAAUCUAAAAUUCCUAAUCAAUGUUUUUAAA
rnacentral:lncRNA from 1 species